AGAAUGUGGAGGAAAAGUUUGCAACAGCGUUUUUUUCAUAACAGCUGGUGGAGCGGGUGUGCUGUGAGAUGCUCUGUUCUAAACCCUUUCCUAGCAAAACCCUGGAGAGAUGAGGUAGCUUGGAAUGUAUGUGUCCUUGUAUCUCAUGUACAGGAUGAGAAUGGAUUGCUGUGCUGGGCUGGUUUGGGCUCAUUUAGCUACCGCUCUACUCACAGAUUAAUUUCUAAGAGAGUGUUAAAAGGAAGAUCAAUCCAUAUUUUAACGCUGCCUGCAACAAUUGAUGGCAUUUUGAACGGGGGAUGUGUGAUGAGCACUGAGUUAGAGGAGCCUUCAGGGAAGAUGCUGCUCUGCACAAGCUCUUUUUGUCCUCUGGCCCUUUUGGCUCCAGGGAAAUCUGAGGGGACAUUUGGAAGAUGGGAACUGCUUUGUCCUAAAAGCUGGCUAGAGCAAGGAGGGUGGUGUGUGGCUGGUUAAAGCCCUCCCAGUGAGAAUGUGACUGGAAAGGAGGGGUCUGUGCCUGCUGCCUUGGGAGCCUCUGCAGUUCGUGUGUGCAACGUGGGACCCCAAGAGUUCAUCUGUAAGUUUAGACUUUACAUCUUGUUUUUAUUGUGGGCUGUGGGGGGUGAGGUAAAGAGUUUGCAUCCAAGCUUUCAGUUUCUUCGAGGUAAAAAUGGGUAUAUUUGAAAAGACUUCUGUAAGGAGAGACUUGAGCAUGUGCAGUGGCGGGGCUACAGAGCAAAGCUUUGUUACCUGCAGAGUAGAGUUGGGUGUGUGCAGGCAGGAAACAAGGUACAAGACACAAGCUGGUGUUAAUUUUUCAUCAUAGUAACAGUUUCUUUUUGUAAAUAAAACCUGUGCUUCUGCUACAGCAUUCGAGCAGGUUGUGUAUCUGUUGAGCAGCUUUUCAGUAAGUUUGCAUGUCCUGUUUCUGCUCUGGGUUGAAGCCAUCCUUAUGCCCCAUUCUAGACUAGGAAAGUUUCCUUGGCCUAACUAAAUUUUCAAACAUACCCCGUCUCCUGCAUCAGGGCUGGGGGGCAGAGGGGGCUUUCUCUGGCCCUCCAGCUCUCUUGCUCCUGCCAAUUGUUUCUGCUCCCUGAGGCCAGAAGGUGAAGGCUUGGACUAGAUAAUAAUCUUUGGUUUCAUCCUGUUUCUUCUGAAUUCACAGUGGCUUGCAAUUCCUUUUACAGUUUCUGACUGAGCCCAGAUCUUGUCUGAAGUUGGAAAAGCAAAUCAUACCUUGCUACUGUUAGAACUACAUCUUCAGUGCAGAGAACGUCCCCCUCAUGCAGCCCUGCCAGGAGAGGCUCUCACCGAUGCUCAGGGAGUGCAGGUACGCCAGCCCAGACGUUGUCUGCUGCAGGACAGUGAUGGGCUGUAAGCCAUGGUGGCUGAAGGCCUUUUGCUCCACGUACUGCAACAGAGAACAAGCAGAGUCAGCCCCAACACUGCUCAGCAGCUGCAUAAAUGGCACUUCAGCAGCUGAAGCUGGAGGGCAGUGAGGGCCUUGCAGGAGCAGUUCCCCGUGUCACCUCCUGCAGCGUGGCCGCGCAGAGCUCGAUGGCGAUGUACUGGAACUGCCGGUCC